UAACAAAUGUAGCACUGUCACUUUAAGAGCCACGCUAGAUGAAAACACGCGGGAACAUAUAGAGCGUGUGGGAAUCAGACCAAGAAGCGAAGUAAGGGUGACAUGCACGUGAAGGAGGGUAGUCGUUGAACUGUGCUUGUCCCAACUUGAUACACCCAUGAUCGUCGUUGUAACCCUGGCGAUAUUCAGAGCAAAAUAUCGUGAUUUGGAGUUUGAAAUCUGCCGCUCGUGAGUCGUGUGAACAGCUGUAUAGCGUAAGUGUUUUCGCAAUGUUACCAGAUGUAAAUAUGUUUUUUUGAUUGUGAAAUGAUAUGAACUGUGUAUAUGUUCUUUAGAGGGUAGAUCAUUUGUGUUUUUCCACGUGUUUUGUAUACACCCAACAUGCCGGAAAGUGUCGAGUAAGUGUGUCCUCUCAUCACAUUGGAUUGUAAUGAUUGCACUUUUAAGUUUCAUGGAUUGUUGGAGCUUGGAAAUAAUGUAUUUUUAUUUCUCUUUCCUUAUCAAGCAAGCCACUGCUGUUGUUUAUAAAGGUGAAAUUUUCCUUAAUUAAUUUUCUUUGAUCUCUUAGAUCCCUUUUCCAACUCUUAAAAUUAAGUUAACAUCUCAGUCUUUCAUCUUAAUGCUGAACAAUUUUUCAUUGUUCAGUCGGGAACAAAGCCCACCUAAAAAUUA